rnacentral:lncRNA from 1 species
UUGGAUACAUUCACCCGAUGCCCUCGACUAAGAUUAGCCACCGAUGUAUCUAAUCUAUUCAUCCAAGCCUCCUGCUUCUCCAACCUAUCUCUCACAUCUCCAAACGCCCUCUCAAACCUCUGCACCAAAUCCUCCGAUGCAUUGCUAUUAUUGCCUUGUCGACUUGAAUUUGAUUCUGCCUUUUCUGACAUCCUAACACUAAAGAUUUU